rnacentral:rRNA from 1 species
CCUACGGGUGGCUGCAGUGGGGAAUAUUGCACAAUGGGGGAAACUCUGAUGCAGCGACGCAGCGUGAGUGAAGAAUUAUUUCGGUACGUAAAGCUCUAUCAACAGGGAAGAAAAUCACGGUACCUGACUAAGAAGCCCCGUCUAAUUACGUGACAGCAGCCGCGGUAAUACGUAGGGGGCAAGCGUUAUCCGGAUUGACUGGGUGUAAAGGGAGCGCAGGCGGGGUGGCAAGUCAGAUGUGAAAACCCGGGGCCCAACCCCGGGAGUGCAUUUGAAACUGGCAUGCUGGAGUGCCGUAGAGGUAGGCGGAAUUCGUGGUGUAGCGGUGAAAUGCGUAGAUAUUAGGAGGAACACCAGUGGCGGAGGCGGCUUACUGAACGGUAACUGACGCUGAGGCUCGAAAGCGUGGGGAGCAAACAGGAUUAGAUACCCGUGUAGUC